AUGGUUAUACCAGGUCUACUGAAGUCUCUUGAUUCACCAGUUCAACCACCAAAGUCUCUCGAUUCACCGCUGCAGACGGUUAAACAAGUUCAACCACCGAAAUCUCUAGAUUCACUGGUCCAGAUGGUUGGAUCGAUGCAACUAUCGAAAUCUACAGAAUCCAAGAGCGCUUCGAGUGGCUCUGGAGCUGCAGGGUCUGAUUUAGGAGCUGCUCCAUUUGAUAUAUGCAUGGGUAACAGCAAAGGCACUGUCAUUCUCAAACACGGCCUCCUUGAGAUCAAUAGAGAGAAACGCCGUGCAAAGGAGCUUUCAGACAUUGCUCCAGUGCAACAUUUGAGACCUGGGAUGGUUUUAUUGAAAAACUUCUUAAAGCCUGAUGACCAGGUUAAAAUCAUCAAGCAUUGUCGAGAUCUUGGUGUUGGCCCAGGAGGAUUUUAUCAACCUGGGUACAGAGAAGGUGCUAAGUUAAGUCUACGGAUGAUGUGCUUAGGGAAGAACUGGGACCCAGAUUCAGGCUCAUAUGGGGAUAUACGACGUUUUGAUGCUGCUCAACCACCAAAGAUACCAGAAGAAUUGACUAAGUACGUGAAAGAUGCCAUUGCAGCUUCCCAUGAAUUCUUAAAACAAAGAGGCAAGGGAGCUACCAAUCCUGAUGCAGAACUUCCUGUGAUGUCACCCGACAUCUGCAUUGUUAACUUCUACACCACUAGCGGGAAGUUAGGUUUUCAUCAGGACAAUAAUGAACAGAGAUCUAGCCUUGCCAGGGGACUGCCUGUUGUUUCCUUUUCAUUGGGCGACACUGCAGAAUUCUUGUAUGGCGAUGUCAGAGAUGAUGAUAAGGCUUCAAAGAUUAAACUUGAAUCUGGUGAUGUUCUGAUAUUUGGUGGUCAAUCAAGGCACAUAUUCCAUGGGGUCUCCAGCAUUGCACCGAAAAGUGCACCGCUCUGGGUGACCAACAAGGCAAAUCUUCGACCCGGGCGUCUGAACCUCACAUUCAGGCAAUACAAUUACAAAGGGUCAGUCAACGUCACACCUGCUCCAUUUGAUACAUGCGUAUGUGACAACAAUACUGCUCCAUUGCAACAUCUGAGACCUGGGAUGGUUCUGUUGAAAAAGUUCUUGAAGGCCAAUGAUCAGGUUGAAAUUUUCAAACUUUGCCAUAAUCUUGGUGUUAAUGCAAGAGAGUGUUUGUGCUUAGGGAAGAAAUGCGAUCAAUAUUCCAACUCUUAUGGAGAUAUGCGUCCAUUUGAUGGUGCUCAACCUGAUAUCCCUAAAAUAUUCAAGAAGCUCGUGGAAGAUGCCAUUGAAGCCUCCCAUGAAUUCCUGGAGCAAAGAGGGGGUACUUCCAAUCCUUUGGUAGAGCUUCCUCCAAUGUCACCAGAUAUGUGCACUGUUAGGUUCGACACAUUAUCCCGACAAUUGUUCUUCGUCAGGUACAAAAGAACCGCUUUCUCCAGUAGCGUGCUUUUCGUCUUGCCACUAGCCUUUGAUGUCCAUCGACUGUAA
rnacentral:rRNA from 1 species